AGAGAGUUGCAGUGAGAGCUAUGGCUGAAAGUUAAAGCGUGAGAAAUGGCUGGGUAAGAGAGGGAGAUCGAGAAAGAGGCCGGUUGGUGGCAGCCCAAAGUAGCAAGCGGCCAUAGCCGCAAGCUUCAAGCGGCCAUAGCCGCAAGAUCAAGUGGAGUAGGGGCAGCCGAGCAGCAACCACCGUGACAGUAAGCUGGACGACGCAAGCAGGGCAGGGACCGCGAUGGAGGCCGGCGAGGCUGUGGUGGCCGGAUGCGCUGGAAGCGCAAGAAAGCAGCGGCCAAGCCGUUGCGUAUGUAGUAGUGGCCGCAGCCAGUGGCUGCGCACAGUGAGGCCGACAGCGGUGGCUGCGACCGCGCACGAUGGAGCGAGGGCGGCUGGCGGAGGCGCUGAAGCAUUGGCAAGCGGCGGCGAGGCCAUGAUUGCGGUGGCACAGUAGCUGGGCGAAGCUCGUUCGCGCGCGCAAGGCUGAAACAGAGAAGGGAGGAAGAAGAAGAAGAAGAAAGGAGAAGAGAAGGAAGAAGAAAAGAAGGAAGAAGAAAGAAGGAAAAGAAGGAAGAAGAAGAAGAAGUUGCAGGUGGUUGCGCGGGAAGCAGGGGAGAGAAGGAGGAAGAAGAAGAUGAAGUGGAGGGAAAAGAAAAAGAAAAAAAGAAAAGAAAAGAAAGGAAAAGGAAAAAAAAAAAGAAAAGAAAAGAAAAAGAAGAAAAAUAGGAAAAUGAUGGAGAAAAAUCCUAAAAAAUCACAAAAGAUAGAAAACUAUAUUUCGGUGAUAUCCUGAAGAUUUUGGUGAGAAAAACGGCUCUGGCACAUUUUUCGAGAAUACAGCACGCAUAUCGAGGAAAUCGGAGAUGCUGAGUUAAGGAUGCUUUGAGAUCAAAGUUGAGGUGUCUGGUGCGAAUUUUGAGGUUAGCACGCAAAUCAAGGCGAUGCAAGAGGCAAGGCGCGAAUAUCGAGGUAGCUCGAUAAGCUUGAGAAGACAGUGGAUAUGAGAAGAAAGAGGACCCUAUUGAGGCUUGCAAGAGGUCUGACGAGUCUUCUUCUACAAGUGAGGCUCCAAAAUCUGAGGAUGGAACUUUCAUCUCUAGAUAAGCGAGAGCAAAGGAAUCUCCAUCUUGAGGGCACUUCCUUGCAGCCUGUGGUACCAAGCAAGUCAACAAGAAGAACCUCCCGCAGGUCCAAGGCAACUUCAAUACAAUCAGAAAUUGUUAGGAGAUCACCAAGAAUAGCAAACCUAUCAUUGAGAGGUCAACCAUCCUAGGGUACUUUUGAAGCUUCAAGAAACUAGAAAAGAAAAUAUGAAGGUAAAUGUAAAGCAGUAGUUCAGGGCGAGUCCAAUGGGGCUAAAGCCCAGGAUUAGAGGUGUACAAAGACCUUCCAAACUAGUGGUCCAUGUUAGUGUUUGUGAUGAGGGCAUGUGUGAGAAAAUUUUUAUGUUGUAAAAUUUGUUAAUGCCCUUGUAUUUCAUUUUGUGUAGACUAUGGUCCAAGAUGUUGUAAACCUUUAUGUUAGCUUCCGCUGAAUUUAUCUAAGGAUAGUAUUAUGGUGUUGUAUGUUAUUGUUUUAUAUCACACUUGUGAUGACCUCCUUUCGGAUAUCCUAUACUAGCGGAACUAUCCGAGAGUGGGCCACUACAUAUUUAGUCGUUUGUUGU